GGGCUCGGCUAUUCCUUGGCCAAGAGGGGGGCAGGCAGCAGUACGCGAGCGAUCUGCCCGAGCGGUGGACAGUCAGUGGUGUGAGAAGUGUGCAGACAAAGACUAACUCUCGACACAAUGCAUGUCACCAAUGAAAUCCUCGUGAACGGCACGCUAACAUGCACGGGGCGACGCAACACGCACCCGCGAGCUGCGGAGCUGGAGACGAACGAAAAUGAACACGAGUGCCAAGAUACAGGUGUCGGCCGGGGAGCCCCAUGUCGCCCUUCCCCGCAGUUCAGGGGCAGGCGGUUGCUCUGCUGUCCGUCUGUCCGUCUGUCCGUCCGUCCGACCGGCCGCGCGCUACAGGCACGUGGCUCGGGGCGGCCGCGCUCCCGCUGCCCAGUUCCUUUCAGAAAGACUUUGCCUUCGCCCCUCUUCUCGGUCAUCUGAAAAGGGUUAGAAAUCUGCUAGCAAGUGUGGGGGCCAUAUAUUAACUCUAAGUCUUUGUUCCUCUGCUUGGACAUUACCAGACAUCUCAUGUAACUCUCGCAAUAUUUACAAACCGGUAGAAGAAAUACAUUUUUUUUUUUUUUUUUCUCGUUUUGUUCGCUUCUUUUUAUAACACUAAAUGUUAAAUCUCCAUCGACCAAACACAAUUACACUGACAAGCUCAAGGAACUGGUGUCCCGUUCCAAACUCCCGUCUCCCCGGUCCCCGACCAGCUGAGAGGCAGCGGGAGGCGAGAGCACGGCUUCUCCGCAGGGGAUGGGGAAGGUGGGAACAUGAACGCGGAGUGGGGCGGAGGAGGAGAAACAGCGUCAGAGAAAAGGGCCUGAGACAUGAGGAACACCUUUGCAACACCUCUGCUGAAGGGCGGAGGGGGAGAAAGGGAAGGGGG